UUUAAAAAGAAAAAUAGAUUCAAAAGUUGCGCUCUUCAAAUAGGAAGCAUAGCAGCUUGGAAACGCUAUGAGAAGGAGAGGAGAGAAAUUCAUGCCACUGAGAAGAAGGAAAGAUGUGACGCCGGUGAAACUGACAAAGUGAAAUUCACAGUUUGUAGAGAUAGGUUGCUGGUUUAAAGUAAUCACCUGAUGACACUACUUUAUUACUAAAAGUUUAGAGUUAUGCCAUGAUCCUCACACAUGCACAGACAGGGAGAGGGGAAGUUGGCAGCCCUGUAAUUCCAAUGGUGUGAAUAUUGAAUGCUGACCAUAUUUGCCAAGACAGAAACUGUUGUCUUGGAGACGAGCUUGGCCGUAGGUUUGUACACCACAUUGCGUUUCCCGUCUGCUUUUAAGUCCUUAGCAGAGGGAGAAGAAACAGCAGCCCCGCAUAGAUUAGCCUGGAAUCAGAAGACAUGUAACUGUAAGAUAUCUACGUCUUGGGGGGGAAAAUGCAGUGAAUGGGAGGAGAAUUGCACUCGAUUGCUCGAAAUGUGAUUGAAAGGACAUUUGGUUUGUUCAAGAAGCGAUGGGCCAUUUUGAGAGAUGCAUCUUUUUUUGAUAUCAAUACUGAUGUCAUGAUAAUUAAUGCAUGCGCCAUCCUUCAUAAUCUUAUUCGAGUAGAAGAACCAAAUGAUCCUUGGAUGAGGUUGAUGCUGAGAUGCGAAGAGUACAACAAUGAGAUUGAUGAUGAAGAUGAAGAUGAAAUGGAAAAUGAAGAUGAGGAAGAUGGAAUGGAAGAUGAUGGUCCAAAUAAUGAUGGUGGCAUAAGAAUGUCCAUUCUGCUUGUAAACAUGUGAUUGUUGACUUUUAUAUUUUUGCUGGACUGAUCAUGACCUAUACUUUCUUUAGGUGGAUUGUGAGGUAAUUUGCUUUUAUCAUUUGAAUCUUGCUUUCAGGUCUCUGAGUUUGCAACUUAAAGGUGCAAAACAUGUUGUAUAUGGCUUGAUGUUUGUUUGGUGUCGAUAGACAACUAGACCCUUAAAUAUAUCAGCAAGUUGUGA